UACAAUCACCAAAGUUAAGCAACAUUGAGCCUGAUUAGUACCUAGAUGGGUGACUACUUGGGAAUACCAAGUGCUGUAAU